GACGAACGCUGGCGGCGUGCCUAAUACAUGCAAGUUGAGCGAUGAAGAUUGGUGCUUGCAUCAAUUUGAAGAGCAGCGAACGGGUGAGUAACGCGUGGGGAAUCUGCCUUUGAGCGGGGGACAACAUUUGGAAACGAAUGCUAAUACCGCAUAACAACUUUAAACAUAAGUUUUAAGUUUGAAAGAUGCAAUUGCAUCACUCAAAGAUGAUCCCGCGUUGUAUUAGCUAGUUGGUGAGGUAAAGGCUCACCAAGGCGAUGAUACAUAGCCGACCUGAGAGGGUGAUCGGCCACAUUGGGACUGAGACACGGCCCAAACUCCUACGGGAGGCAGCAGUAGGGAAUCUUCGGCAAUGGACGAAAGUCUGACCGAGCAACGCCGCGUGAGUGAAGAAGGUUUUCGGAUCGUAAAACUCUGUUGGUAGAGAAGAACGUUGGUGAGAGUGGAAAGCUCAUCAAGUGACGGUAACUACCCAGAAAGGGACGGCUAACUACGUG
rnacentral:rRNA from 1 species